AUAUAAUGUGAAUUAUAAAAAAUAUUUAAUUAUAUAAAGUUAAAUACACCACUGUUUUUGUAUGAUAAGAUGUGCUAUUGUUUUUUAAACUUAAGCAAACUGCUUUGCUUUAUGAUACCACUGGUAGCGGCAGUUAUUUUUGGGACUUUUAUAUAUAAUUACUUUAAAACGGAACAUGUUCCACAGCUUCCUUGAGGUUCUUAAGGUUCUAAGGCAUCUUCAACAAAUUUGAUGAAUGGAUUAUCUUCAGUUAUGAUCUUUGCAGAUACGUGUUUUGAACAAUAAAGAUGG